GGAGUCUUCAAUAAAGUUAUAUGUGAGUAAAGACACAAUGUUCCUUAGUGAUUUAACAUGGCAGCAGAGCGUGGAUUAUGAACAGUGACCAAUUACAGUGUAGAAAGUGACCAGAAGCAGUGUGUGGUAUAUACAGUGUCAAGACAUUUGAGAGAGCCAGUUUAGAGAUAAAACAGUGAAGUGAAUAAGAAUAAGGACUCGAGUGAAAUUGACAAAAUGGCGUCAUCAGUCAGUGUUUUUUUUAAGGCCGUUUUGGGGCCGAUAUUCGGCCCCAUUCCCCUCAAGAAAAAGUAUAUAUUUUUCCCCGACUUUUGAAAAAAAUUCCCCUCCAGAAGUUACAAUUUUUUUUAAACAUUACGUAUAUUUAUCCGAAAAAAAACAUUGACCGCAUUUUAAACGUGUUUGUUCUAGUUUUUAGACGCUCAGUUUUGCGUGAAUCAUGGCAAUGAAAGCGCUUAGCAUUGUGGUUGCGGUCUACGUCAUCAAUAAUGUUGAAAGCACAUGUUUCACAUAACAACGCAAUGAGCGUCUAGUGAACAAUGAACGUUUCAUACAGUUACGAUCGUCUAGCUGCUUGACACUGAAAUGUCGCACAAUGCGAAAUUUUACAAAAAGAAAAUAAAUCAAAAAUGUGCCGUUCAAUGCAAAACAAUCGACAUUUUAUUUAAGCAGAAUGCACUUAAAGUUCAACAAACAACAAAAGAAUCGGCUCAGGUUGAGCAGAAUAAUGAUGAUUUGAUUGAGGCACAUUCAUCAAAGGAUCAUGUUAAUCAAACAAUUCUUGAGACUCAGAGUGACAGUAGUGAUGGAGAAAAUGAAACGGUCCCUGUGCCUGAUAGAAAAUUUUCAUCCACCAAAUAUGAAAAGCAAUACAGCUGGCUGUAUUACAGUGCAGCCAAGGCAGCCUAUUGCUGUAAAAUGUGUGACAUAUUCUCGCCAGUUUUGACCAACGGUCAGCUAAAUCCCUGGGUUGAAGGGGAAAAAUUAGGAACCCACCAGAGCCGAAAGCUUCUUAAGCAUUCAAACUCUAAACCUCAUAUAAAUAGCAUUCAGAAACAGUCGAAGGUAAAUGCAUAUGAUGACGGGGAGCCUUUGCUUCUUAUGUUGCUUAAACAAAAAUCUGAAAAACAGAAAUCAGAGGAAAUUUCUAGAAAUAAAAAGUACAUAUCAUGUGUUAUCAAAACUGUUCAUUUUGCUGUCAAACAGCAUUGGUCCUUAGACAGUGUACCGGAAUUAGUGGACCAUGUGGCCAAUCUAGGGAACAUGGAUAUCACUUCCUAUUUCCAACAUCAUCCAAACUUAAAGUACACCUCCACAGCGUCUGUGACAGAGGUAUUAGAAGCAAUAAACAUAUAUUUGGAAACCAAAUUGUUCGAUAAGUUAAGGCAGGCUGAUGCAUAUGCAUUGAUGGCGGACGAGUCAUCAGAUCAGGCUCAUAGAGAACAAUUUGCAGUGCUGGUAAAGUUUGAAUGGCAGGGGAAAAUUGAAGAGCAUUAUAUCGGUAUUAUCCAUGUCAUACGCACUGAUGCAGCCAGCUUGAUGAAAGCUAUUGAAGAUUUUCUAAAUUGCAAAAAUGUUGAUAUCAAAAAGGCCAUGUUCGUGGGGUUCGAUGGUUGCAAUACCAUGAGCGGUGUUAACAAAGGUUUACAGAGAAGAUUUCGGCAUCAUGUUCCCCACCAAAUCUACAUUAACUGUAGAAACCAUAAGCUGGCUUUAUGUGUUAAGCACUUGAUUAAAGAUUUUCCAGUCAUUGAGAAAUUUGAUGAGCUGCUCAUUGGCAUUUUGAAAUUUUUUCACUAUUCUCCCAAACAAUUUGCAACAUUUCAGUCCAUUCAAGAGUCAUAUGGUUUAACGAAGCUUCGUUUCAUCCGAGCCUGUACCACAAGAUGGCUUUCUCAUGAGAAAGCAUGCAGUAGAUUGGCUUCUAGAUACGUACAGGUAAUUGACACGCUGGAUGCUUGCCUGAAUGAGAAAUUCGAAGCCGAGGUUGAUGGAGUUCGUGGUCAGCUUCUCGAGAAGGAAACAGUAGCAGCUGUUCUCAUCCUUUGUGAUGUUUUAAAACCUGUGAUCCGUUUCAGUGACUAUUUGCAGCAGAGUAACCUUGUCUUUUCCAAUAUGACAGAAAGAUGCAAGGAACUGCUAGAUGAGCUUCACCUUCUGAUAGGAAGAUUUCAGACAUGUUUCAAUACUCCUCAAGAUGAAAGUUUAAUGUUGAGCAAGAUACAGGACUUGUUCUUCGAGAUCGAUGAAAGGGCUGCUUUUUCUAGAAGACUAAGGCAGCAUGAUGUUGACCUCCAACCCGAGAAGAUUGUCAUGGAAUUGGCUUUGCCAAUUACGUAUAACCUGAUCAGUGAAAUAGCAUGUGCCUUUAACUGUGAGCCUGUGCUGGAAGCGUUCUCGGUCUUCAACAUGAACAAAGUACCUGAUUCAAUGAAUGCGAUGCAAGGCUAUGGAAAGAAUGCGGUUGAUGUCUUAGCCAAACAUUAUGGAAACACCAAGAUUGAUGAGUUUGAGAGGCACAGGACUGAAGCGUUCCCAACAUUCAGUGAAUCAACAAUCAGGGAACAAUUUCAGCAAUUUCUUCCACAGUUGUGUUUGUUGAAUUUCUUUGACACAGGGAUUCAGCUGGACAAGCUGCUUGAUUGAAAGCUGAUGCAGGGCAUGUCCAUUUUCUACAAUUUCUACAGUUCAGUUUUCAAAGCAAAGAGGGGAGCUGUGCCUGACAGAUCUAUUCUACAGACCAGAGAUACAGAAUUCCUUCCCCGCUGUCAACUAUAUGUUUACCCUAAGCCGACUGAUCCCAUCGUCUACUGCCAGUGUUGAAAGGCUCUUCAGCCUCAUGAACAGUCUCUGCACGCCAUCCAGGAACAAACUCCUGGUGGGAACGCUGGAUAGCCUGCUGAGACUGUGCAUGGAGGCUGAUCUUUCAGAAUCUGAUGUUGAAAAUGUAAUUGACAUUUUCAAGAAAAAGGAAUGGAAUAUAGCAUUGUGAACAUGUGUACUA